rnacentral:lncRNA from 1 species
GCAAAUUUUUGGGAGGCUAAAGAUACUAAAGGUGUUUGGCCAAUUUUUUAUAUAUAAAAAAAAAAAAUAUUUCACCUUUGGCCAAACUUUUAUACAGGGAAAAAAAAUAUUUUUGAAUAGUAGGAAAAACAAGAUGGAUUAUUUCAAUGGAGUAUUGCUCUUUUUUUUUUUUUUUGCAAAUUAAAUACUUUUUGUUCGACUUACAAGGAACAACUUAUAGUUACUUUUCAGCUUUGCUUUUGCUUUAAAACACAUUUAAGAUCGGAUUCUUUUCUUUUUCUUUUUGGUAUAGUACAAUAUAAGAAGUCUCAUUGAGAAAAUCAAAAUACAGGUCUAGUAAAUGUUUUAUUUUAAUCGAAAUUGUAUGGUUGAAUUGGUCCGUUAUUAUUAUUUUGGUAGCUAAGUUGUCUGUUAUUAGAAUAUAGUAACAUAUAGUUGGUCGAUAUUAAAAAAUGAAUUAAAUGUGAACUUUGAAUUUGAAAUGCAUGUAGUGCGAGGUUAAGACAUGGUUUGGACUUUGAAGCUAGAAGUUUAUCUAAAACUACUAAAUGGCACACUACAAUUAGUCUAUUUUCUUUCCAAAUUCCGAGCAAUAUAACUAGUCUGAGUAAAAUCGUAUGCUUGACCUAAAAAUUAAAAAAAUUAAAGUAUUCACUAAUUGAUUACAUUCUUUUCUUUAACUAUAAUUUUGAGAUUGAUAACUAUUAUAAAUUUAUUGAUUCUUUUCUUUUCGUGUUUUUGUUAACAUAGCAAAACAUUUAGAGCGAACAAAAUCUUAAUAGACAUUUAACAAUAGAUUGCAUGCUUUAGUGUUGAGUACUCAAUAUAUUUAUAUCCAUAUUAUAAUAUUUUUUGUUUUAAGCCAUGUUUAUGUUAUAUAUAUUGUCAUGGAAAUAUUUUCAAUCGUGGAAUUGUCAAAGAAUGAUUAAGCAAUUUCUAUGAUAGAUUCCUAACAUCGGUCAAUCAAACAUUAAAUACUAAGUUGAAUUAUAUUUUGUGUUGAUUACUUUUAAAAUUGUAUUAAAAUAUGAUGGAUCUAUCCUAUCCUAGUCGCCAAUUUUCAAACAAGAUUAAAGGAUAUUUAAGGAAAUGAAUUCGUAAUUUAAGAGGUGGCGGAAUGCAUUAGUUGGAGAACUCUAUGCGGGGUUAACGAGAAAAUAUCAUGGGUGGUCAUUCAAUUUUAUUUUCAUUACAUAAAAAUUAUUUUACUUUUCUUUGUUAUGUAAAAAUUAUUUAACUUUGUGUUCAAUACCCAAAAGUCACUUUUUUUUCUUUUAUUACAUAAAAAUUAUUGUAUUUUGC